AGUGUGUGUGUGUAUACACGUGCGUGGAGAGCUGUCCCAGUGGUGAUGCCAUGCUGGAUAUGGAGCUUGUAUCGUAAAGUACAGAUGUGUUUGGGCGUGUCUGUAAUCUGAUGGCUGUGGGUCAGGCAGUAGUUCUCUCUCUUGCUCUCUGUUCUCUGUUUGGAUUCACCGCACACCCUAGCAAGCCUCUAGUACACUUGCAGGCCAAGGCCCUGCCAGUCAACCUGACACACAUAAAGUCCGUUAUACUGCAGAACAGUUGCAGGCUGUCUUAGCACUGCACUGCUCUCAGUCAGUCACUGAGUGCUCUGUGGGGUUACCCAAGCGCCCACUGAAACUGCCGGUCACAGUGCUCUGUGAGGUUACCCAAGCGCACACUGAGACUGCAGGUCACAGUCACAGUGCUCUGUGAGGUUACCCAAGCGCACACUGAGACUGCAGGUCACAGUCACAGUGCUCUGUGAGGUUACCAAGCGCACACUGAAACUGCAGGUCACAGUCACAGUGCUCUGUGAGGUUACCCAAGCGCACACUGAGACUGCAGGUCACAGUCACAGUGCUCUGUGAGGUUACCAAGCGCACACUGAAACUGCAGGUCACAGUCACAGUGCUCUGUGAGGUUACCCAAGCGCACACUGAAACUGCAGGUCACAGCUUGCUGUGCUCACAGCUCGGUAAAUUCCGAAAACCCUCUCUCUCUGUCCAGCAUGCGUACGCGAGGCGUGCCUCUUAGGUUUCUUUAAAAAAAAAAAAAAAAAAA